ACCGAAAAUGCGAGACUUGCUUUAAUUGUUUUCUGUCAGUGUUUAUAUGUGUUGAUCUAGCACUGUGUAAAUAACAUGAGUUCCAUUAUCGUAAAUGAUACAGAAAGAAAUUGAAGGAAAACAAUUAAAGCAAGUCUUGCAUUUUCGGU
rnacentral:miRNA from 1 species